GUUCCCAAAUCACCUUAGGCUGUAGCACCUGGGGGGCUCAUCUGUGUUUUUUUCACGCUUAUUGUGAUUUGUAGGACACUCUGGGAGCAAACAGAUACCAGGGUGAGGGCUGACAGGAAAGGAAGACCCAGAUGGCAGAUUCUCCGGCCACACAAGAGACUGACUACCUGUGCGAGCUGCACUGCCUGACAGUCAACAAACCUGUACUUCAGGCAAGGAUGUCCCACGAUUGUUUCUAGAUGUUAACUGCAGUGGCUCCCAGGAUUCCCAGCAUGUCUGUCUACUCCCUGAAAGCUCUUUGAGGGCUUCUCGUCAUUACAGUUCCCUGAGUUUUCACUCUUUCCUGGCAAGCCAUCUGACCUCUCUGCGCCGCAGCUGUGGUCACCAUCCGCCAACUCCAUCCAUCAAGACUAUUCAAAAUUGCAACCAGAAAUUUUGUUUCCGCAAAAUCUAGAAUUAAAAUUUUCUUUCCUUCAAACCU